CGAACGCUGGCGGCGUGCUUAACACAUGCAAGUCGACCGGAAAGGCCCUGCUUUUGUGGGGUGCUCGGGUGGCGAACGGGUGAGUAACACGUGAGUAACCUGCCCUUGACUUUGGGAUAACUUCAGGAAACUGGGGCUAAUACCGGAUAGGAGCUCCUGCUGCAUGGUGGGGGUUGGAAAGUUUCGGCGGUUGGGGAUGGACUCGCGGCUUAUCAGCUUGUUGGUGGGGUAGUGGCUUACCAAGGCUUUGACGGGUAGCCGGCCUGAGAGGGUGACCGGCCACAUUGGGACUGAGAUACGGCCCAGACUCCUACGGGAGGCAGCAGUGGGGAAUAUUGCACAAUGGGCGGAAGCCUGAUGCAGCAACGCCGCGUGCGGGAUGACGGCCUUCGGGUUGUAAACCGCUUUCGCCUGUGACGAAGCGUGAGUGACGGUAAUGGGUAAAGAGGCACCGGCUAACUACGUG
rnacentral:rRNA from 1 species